rnacentral:rRNA from 1 species
AUUGAACGCUGGCGGCAGGCUUAACACAUGCAAGUCGAGCGGGGUGAUGGUGCUUGCACUAUCACUUAGCGGCGGACGGGUGAGUAAUGCUUAGGAAUCUGCCUAUUAGUGGGGGACAACAUCUCGAAAGGGAUGCUAAUACCGCAUACGUCCUACGGGAGAAAGCAGGGGAUCACUUGUGACCUUGCGCUAAUAGAUGAGCCUAAGUCGGAUUAGCUAGUUGGUGGGGUAAAGGCCUACCAAGGCGACGAUCUGUAGCGGGUCUGAGAGGAUGAUCCGCCACACUGGGACCGAGACACGGCCCAGACUCCUACGGGAGGCAGCAGUGGGGAAUAUUGGACAAUGGGGGGAACUCUGAUCCAGCCAUGCCGCGUGUGUGAAGAGGGCCUUAUGGUUGUAAAGCACUUUAAGCGAGGAGGAGGCUUACCUAGUUAAUACCUGGGAUAAGUGGACGUUACUCGCAGAAUAAGCACCGGCUAACUCUGUGCCAGCCGCCGCAGUAA